UGUCUUUCUUGGUUCUCACUCAUUCAGACUUCAUUUCCUAAAACAGAAAUAUCAAAAUGUUAUGAUGAAGCCUCAUUAAAUUUCACACAGGUAUCAACAGGGUGUCUGCAGCUUUAACAUAUACAUUUCACUUUCUUAUGGCGUUUAAGAAGCAAAGUCCAAAAUCAUAUCGUUUUGGUCAAAUGGACAAAGUUGAUGGCUAUUGUCCUCGUCUAUGCUCUUUCACA